rnacentral:tRNA from 1 species
GCGGGAAUGGUGGAAUGGCAGACACGCAAGAUUUAGGAUCUUGUGGAGCAAUCCGUGGGGGUUCGAAUCCCCCUUCCCGCACCA